rnacentral:tRNA from 1 species
GUUGUGGCUCAGUGGUAGAGCACUCACCUAGCACAUGUGAGGCACUGGGUUCAAUCCUCAGUAGAACA